CUACGCACUUGACCGAUGGGCCCUGGCUUGGACGGACGUUUGGACGCCAUGGACGGAGCGAGGCAGAGUCGUGGUUCAAGAUGUCACCGGCGUCCUGAUCUGUGGAUCAGAUCCGGUGCUUUCCGGUAGUGGCGGCAGGGCACGCAGUAAAUGCAGAAGUUGGGCGCUGGGGCAAGCUAUCCCCUACCCAGUGAAGUUGGAUCUUGCAUUCUUCAAGGCGGGGAACCGGUGGAGAAAUCUCCUGCGGGAAAAGGGAGUGGGCGGUCCAGCGAGCUCCCAGGUCCUCCGGCGAGCAUGGAAUUCUUGUUGCAGCCAUUAAACAGGUUAGAAUCUGCUCGCUGUGGCUCCGUUUGGCACGGUUUUGGAUUAAGUUUUCAGCAAUGAUUUGAUUUUGUCUACUGAAUAUUUUUGCGGAAGUACCACAACACUGCUAGAGAAGGUUAACGAGAACAACAACACCAUGGAGCCUCUUCACUACCCAGUCAUGGCGCCGGCGGAGGUUGAGCUGCCGGCCCCGGCGGCCUCAAGUGCAGACGGCCAAAUCUGUGUUGACGGCGCCGCUCCAGAGCCGGCCAGUGCAGACAAGGGUCAAGGUUCAGAGCACUCUAUAGAGCAAGUGGAUCCAAAAACUCCGGGGUGGACGCAAAGAGUGCUCCUUGCCCUCACAGGAUCUCAGCCCUGGAGAGAUCAGUCCGGCGAUUUGCAGAAAAAACAGGAGACUUUGUCAUUGUGCAAAGAUAGGAACAAGUUUCGACACACUUGGUGAGGCGUACGAUUUUUACAAUUUAUAUUCGUGGGCGAAAGGAUUCGGUAUUAGGUAAGGGAAGAGCAGGCUAAAUGUGGACCAGACAAAAUGCAUGCAAAAGAUAGUCUGUGGGUGUGCGGUAUGACAGAUCUUUGAGCAUUUUAAAUAUCUUUCCAGCUCACUAUGAGAAAGUUCGUAGUGGAGUUAACUGAAUAUGUUUGACAUGGACCAUGACGUGAGCUAAUCGCAGGGGAGACCGCUUACGUGAGCAAACAUCGCAACUAAAAGACAUGCUGGCAAAAUCUACACACGAACUAUGUUCAAGCAGUUUUGCCAUAUAGUAUAUGAGUGCGGAGCAUACCAGAUGGAAGAGAUCGAGAAAGGAAAAACGUAUAUUACAAUUCAUACCGAGGCAGAGCGGCGGGAGAAGUGGUGAGGAAUUUGAUUGUGAAUGCGGCCAGUUCGCACACAUGCGGAUGCUCUACAGCCAUGUCUUGAAGGCUCUGGACUUUAUUCUUAUUAAGGAAAUACCUUGGAAGCACAUAGUGAAAAGAUGGACUAGAGAUGCCAGACACAUCCUACUCCCUCAUCUGACACAAUAUCAGAAGGACAAUGCUCACAAAAAUUCAUUUAGUUAUAGGCAUUUCAAUAUGUCGAUGCAUGACAUGAAGCUUGUCCGUAUGGGGGACACGAGUGUUGAAGCAUAUACGCAUCUAAUUUCUAUGAUCAAGAAUUGUGCUGCUGGAAUGACACCAUUUGCUGAAAUAAUAAGAGACAGUCUUGGAUUAGAGGACAUGAUGGCAGAGAAUGGAGAUGUUGUUAACCAGGUUCAGACACAAGUUGGUAUUCAGUUUGCACCAAACAGAGUGGAUAGUGUUGUUGGCAACGACGAAACAACUCGGCUAACGAGUCUGGUAAUAGGCUGUCAGGAUUAUUACCUCUGGCUAAGAGGAAGGACAUGGGAAGGCCUACGACAAGCAGAGAGAAGGCGUUUUAUGAAGGUUUGAGUAAGAGGACAAGAUUUUGCACGAUUUUUCGGCGGCAAGGCCACAAAUGUACAACUUUGCCCUGAUCGCGGGGAUGUCCCAAAGCAGGUGAGGAAACCUGCACGGUGCAAAAGUUGUGGGGUGGACAAAGCAGCAGAACUCAGACUGAAUAAUUUACAAACUUAGAUUGUUUCAGCAUGACAUAUUUCUGUCAUGGCCGGUGACUCAUGCCAGAGCAAGCACAGGGGACUGGAGUGCUAAUGUGACAUUGGGAGCGUCAGUGUGUGUGGGCACAGCCGGUCCUUGUGCGUGUGAGUGUCGGGCGCUGGUGUGGUGUACGUGAGGCCCUGGUUAGGAGUCGUGUGUGGUUUGUGGGUGUAUAAACACCCAGUCUUGUAAUGUGUUUUGGUGGAAAAAAAGAAAAUAAGUAGCAAAAGUCUGAA